rnacentral:misc_RNA from 1 species
AGGACUACAGGGGUAUCUAAUCCUGUUUGCUCCCCACGCUGUCGCGCCUCAGUGUCAGUUACUGCCCAGCAGGCCGCCUUCGCCACCGGUCUUCUAUCGGAUCUCUACGCAUUCCACCGCUACACCCGAUAUUCUACCUGCCUCUACAGUACUCAAGCCUUGCAGUAUUCACGGCAGACCCGGGGUUGAGCCCCGGGCUUUCACCGCAAACUUACAAAGCCACCUACGCGCCCUUUACGCCCAGUGAUUCCGGACAACGCUCGCACCCCCCGUAUUACCGCGGCGGCUGACAC